rnacentral:rRNA from 1 species
UACGGGGGGGGCAAGCGUUGUUCGGAAUUACUGGGCGUAAAGGGCUCGUAGGCGGUCUGUUGCGUCGGCUGUGAAAACCCGGGGCUCAACCCCGGGCCUGCAGCCGAUACGGGCAGACUAGAGUUCGGCAGGGGAGACUGGAAUUCCUGGCGUAGCGGUGAAAUGCGCAGAUAUCAGGAGGAACACCGGUGGCGAAGGCGGGUCUCUGGGCCGAUACUGACGCUGAGGAGCGAAAGCGUGGGGAGCGAACAGG